ensembl:snoRNA SNORD4B small nucleolar RNA, C/D box 4B
AGUGCAAGUGAUGUGUCCAUUCUGACCAAAACCUGACUUGCUGAUUUAGUCUUAAAUGACUAAACCCCU